CAAAGAUCAUGGAGAAUUCACACCUUCAAUUAACUUGCAGAUCACACCUCCUUUCAAACCACAAGUAACAAGUGAGACAGAUACACGGUACUUCGACCGAGAGUUUACUGGAGAGUCGGUGCAGCUCACUCCCCCAGACCAGGGAGAACAUCUCAACAGCAUUGAUGAAGAGUCAGAAUACUUUACGUUCAACCAGUUUUCUUACCAAGAUAUCUCAUCAACCCUAGGCAGCUCACUAGCAUCAAGCCUCAAUUCCCUAGAUGUUACAGAAGAAGG